GUACAAUAAGAACUUCAGGACACUGAGGAAAGAAAUUGAAGAAGACCUCAGAAGAUGGAAAGGUCUCCCAUGCUCAUGGAUUGGCAGGAUUAAUAUAGUAAAAAUGGCCAUUUUACCAAAAGCAAUCUACAGAUUCAAUGCAAUCCCCAUCAAAAUACCAAUACAAUUCUUCAAAGAGUUAGACAGAACAAUUUGCAAAUUCAUCUGGAAUAACAAAAAACCCAGGAUAGCUAAAGCUAUCCUCAACAAUAAAAGGACUUCAGGGGGAAUCACUAUCCC
rnacentral:lncRNA from 1 species